UACGUAGGGUGCAAGCGUUGCCCGGAUUUAUUGGGCGUAAAGAGCGUGUAGGCGGCCAAACAGGUCCGUUGUGAAAACUGGAGGCUCAACCUCCAGACGUCGACGGAAACCGUGUGGCUAGAGUCCGGAAGAGGAGAGUGGAAUUCCUGGUGUAGCGGUGAAAUGCGCAGAUAUCAGGAAGAACACCAAUGGCGAAGGCAGCUCUCUGGGACGGUACUGACGCUGAGACGCGAAAGCGUGGGGAGCGAACAGG
rnacentral:rRNA from 1 species